rnacentral:rRNA from 1 species
AGUGAACGCUGGCGGUAGGCCUAACACAUGCAAGUCGAACGGCAGCACAGUAAGAGCUUGCUCUUACGGGUGGCGAGUGGCGGACGGGUGAGGAAUACAUCGGAAUCUACUUUUUCUUGGGGGAUAACGUAGGGAAACUUACGCUAAUACCGCAUACGACCUACGGGUGAAAGCAGGGGAUCUUCGGACCUUGCGCGAUUGAAUUAGCCGAUGUCGGAUUAGCUAGUUGGCGGGGUAAAGGCCCACCAAGGCGACGAUCCGUAGCUGGUCUGAGAGGAUGAUCAGCCACACUGGAACUGAGACACGGUCCAGACUCCUACGGGAGGCAGCAGUGGGGAAUAUUGGACAAUGGGCGCAAGCCUGAUCCAGCCAUACCGCGUGGGUGAAGAAGGCCUUCGGGUUGUAAAGCCCUUUUGUUGGGAAAGAAAAGCAGCAGGUUAAUACCCCGCUGUUCUGACGGUACCCAAAGAAUAAGCACCGGCUAACUUCGUG